UGGUAAUGAUGGCAGAGAGGUCACACCUGUUCCCAUACCGAACACGGAAGUUAAGCUCUCUAGCGCCGAUGGUAGUUGGGACCUUGUCCCUGUGAGAGUAGGACGUUGCCAGGCA
rnacentral:rRNA from 1 species